rnacentral:lncRNA from 1 species
UGGAAGCUCCCAAGUUUUCUUUUAUUAUUAUUUUUUUUUAGAUUUAUUUAUUUAUUCAUGAGACACAGAGAGAGAGAGAGAGGCAGAGACACAGGCAGAGGGAGAAGCAGGCUCCCCGCGGGGUGCCCGGUGCGGGACUCGAUCCUGGAUCCCGGGAUCACGCCCUGAGCCGAAGGCAGGCGCCCAAACGCUGAGCCACCCAGGCGCCCCGGCUCCCAGGUUUUCAAACAGGCUUUCUUUUCUUUCUUUUUUUUUUUUUUUGUAUAUUUUUGUAUUGAUUUUUUUUUUUUUUAUUGGAGUUUGCUUUGCCAACAUCUAGUAUCACACGGAGGGCUCCUCCCGUCCAGUGCCCCCCGCAGUGCCCGUCCCCCGUCCCCGCCGCCCUUCCCCUUGUUCAUCUCCCAGCUUAGGAGUCUCGGGGUCUCACACAGGCUUUGGGGGGCGGGGGGCAGCGGCCGGGCUGCGAGAGGCGCGGGGACCCGGAGCUCCGCGGCCGGGGAGCAGCGCACGCGCACGCGCAGGCUGCGAGCGGCUCCCGCCGGCUCCUCCCGCGGCGGUCGGUCCGGGGACGUUCUCCCCGCCGCGGGGGCGACUGUGACCCCCGGCGGAGGCCCGGGCGGGCCGGGUCCCGAUCGGUGCUGGCGGACGUCACCCUGCCAGGUUCGGUGGUUCUGCAGCCUGGCUCCUCGCUUAGCUUGUACGGAGCUCCCCACUAAUGUGGACAAACCCUGAUACCCUCAGGUGACAGUCACAUGGCUCCAAACCCAGUCUGGCCACCUGCUUCCUCCACAUGGAAAAGGAAGGUUGUAAGGCUCGUACUAGGUAAGGUGUAUUGAAGCCCCUUGGGAAUAAGAGACCAAAGCACAAAUGUGAGGGGAGAGAAUCGUGA